UUGGGUACCCCCUCGUACAUCUGAUGAAACAUUCUAUGUGAUAUCCAGUAGCAACAUCCUUUCCUGGACAUAACUGUCCUAUCUCUGCUGUAACAUCAGGGGAAUCUAUAUCACUCACUUUGGUACCCAUAUCUUCUCUAUCUGUUAACAACAAUUAUAUCUUAAGCUCUGAGGUGUUGAUGGACAUGGUCAUCAUCGACAUUGCACCCAUCAAAACUGUGAUGAGUCACUUCUAUGUAAGAAGACAGAACAUUCCUCCCCUAGGACUGCAUAUGCAACCACCUAAGAUAUGAGGUUUCCAAUGUGGUGAAGAUUCAUAUUGGAUAUGCUGAGUGGCAGACAAAUUUAUGUUUCAGUCUUCAAGGUAUUUUCUACUAAAGAGGACCAAUUUGUGGAGAACUGUAAUCUCAGAGUUGGGAAGACCUGAAUCUUAAUUUCUCAUGUAAUGACGUUGCUUGGAACACAGCUGAAGAUCAUCUCUUAGAAACUGCUGCUACAAAUGGUGCUGCUGUUUGUGGAACCUGAAUCAACUUUCACGAUCAAAACACAACGUGUAUUCAUGGACCACAAACACACUGUAAACAAAAAAAUGGCAAUGUUCAACUGUGGGACCUCAGGCACUCUGCUGUUAUCAUCAGUUUACUGCCCACAGUGGACCAGUGUUUGCCUGUGACUGGCAUCCAGAAGUCUCCUGGUUAGCCACUGCUAGUCGAGAUAAAACAAUUAAGUGCACUUCUUACCAGCGCAAGAGAUGAAAUACUUAGAUUUCAGAAUGAACUCAGAGUAGAUGAACUGCAUAAUGGAAUAUGAGAGUGAAUCACAUUCCCAGAGAGAGCAUGUGAAGGGAGAAAUCAUGAGUUCCUUGUAGAAAGAUUUACAUGUCCAGAGAGGAGGAGGCAAAAGAUGCUGUUCCAAAGGAUGCUGCCAUGAUAAAGUAUCAGCAACCACAAGUCCCCAGAAGCCAUGUAGACCUGCACACGUUUUCACAUCAUACUGUGGACGGCCGUGCAAGGGACUUAAAAGUUUGCAGCUCACCAGUGCUGAACAGCUUGCCAUUAGCCUUCUGCUUGUUGCCAAGAUUUUGGAGGAAUGAACUGCACCCACCUUCAAGGAAGAGUAAGCCAAGCAGGUAGCUAGCAUGAAGAAUGUGCCAAGCAGAGCACCUUUGAGGGCACCCAUUGAGCUGUGCCUUGCAGAUGUUCUGCUGUUGUUGGGGCCAGUGUCAGGUCCUUAGGUGGCAGCCCCACCAGUACACUCGGAGUCAGUGGGCUAAUAACUCACUGCUCUUAAAUGUGUAUUAUUAAAGAAACACUGACAAGGAAAAGCCAAACUGCAUGAGGAAAAAUUACCUUUGGCCUUAACUGUAGAACAAGAAUUAGUUUGUGGACUCUUGAUUCAGGUAGGAGGGACAUAUUGUAUGAUAUUCUGAAUGGAGUUUGGGAUACCCGUAAAACUAGUUAGGUUGAUUAAAAUUUCU